AUGCUUGUAACGCCCCGGAUUCGUUGUAUCAGGUGUCCGCCAGUUAUUCGCCGUCAUUGCCUUGUCAUUUGCUUGCGUGUUGCACUUUGCCAUGUCAUCUUAUGCAUUUCAUAUCAUGUCGUCAUGUGCAUCUCAUUUUGCAUUCGUGUUCGUUUCAUGCAUCCGAGCAUUUUCCCCGUUGUCCGUUUUGCAAUCCGGCACUCCUAUGUCCUCCGGCGUCCCCUUUUUGUCUCUCGUUGUGAGCGGGUAUUAAACGUUCUCGGAAUGGACCGAGGUUUUCCAAGCGGCCUUGGUAUAGCACCGGUAGACCGCUUGUCAAGUUUCGUGCCAUUUGGAGGUCGUUUGAUACUCCAACGGUUAACCGGAUAA
rnacentral:rRNA from 1 species